rnacentral:lncRNA from 1 species
GAGUGACGGAUCUGAAGCAGGCAAAAGGAGAGUGGUCUAUCUCAACGGUAAAUAAACUAGUUUGUAAAAUACACAAUAAGUCAACAAGUUUCAGUUUAACCCACUUCACCGGUAUUGGUAUCGCCCCUAAAAAAUACAAAGCAAGGUUUGUUACAUUCCCACUAUUUUUUUACCUGAUUGUUUUAGCUGAUGUGCAGUGUAGUGUGGUCAGAAAGGUUGAACUACUGCUUUUAUGGACUCUCUGUCUUGAUGUUUCCUGUUGAUACGAACAAUCAGCAGAUGACUCUGUGACGUGGAGUUGAUGCAAGAUACAACUUCCUGUUCUGUAUUGUUUAUUUUGAAAAGAUAAGAAAACUAUAUUAAAAAAAAGAAAACUGCCAAAUGUUUACAAACUCUAAAGUUCAUUCUCUGUCAGUAAAAUGGAAAGGGAGCUGUUAAGAUGCGGAAGUAGCUCAGGAGGUAGAGCGGUCGUCCAGUACAGUUUACUGGAUGAAAAGGAAAGUACUUUCCUGUACUGUAGCUGAUUGGUGUCCUGUGUUGAAGCUGGGGUAUCGGGAUUGUUUUAUUUCCUAUUUUACUUUUUUUACAGCCAUAUUUCUUAGUCAUUUUACAGUUGAAUGUAUUGCACUUGUAUUUAUUAUCUAUUUAUUUAAUUAUUGCUGAUUUGUGGUGCUGAAAGGGGACUGUUUGAGCCAUAUGCUUCUGUGAUUGUCCGGCAUUUGUCUGUUUCUUGAUCGUAAAAUAACAUAGUGGGUUAACUGUGAAAUGAAUUGACCUUCAGGGAUUAAUAAAGUUGUCUGAAUCUGAAUCUUAAUCUAUAUUUGCAUAGAUAAAUAAGAAAUAGAUCAGUUCUGUGUGUGUGAGGUUGAACCACAGAAAGCACCAGAUGUAUUCUUAACAUGUCUUCCAUGAAUAGAGAGUACAUAGCGUGCACAAAGUUAUGCAAUCUUUGUGUGAAUCAUUAGUUCCUUCGUACUAAAAUAUGAACCAUUAUACUUCUCAAACAAACAGAAUUUGACAUACAAACCUGCCUCUAAUAGAAGCCUGCUUCAUUUAAAGACCUGCUGGUUUGUUUUUUAAGGAUUUACUUAUUUAUGAAAAGAAUUAAUCUAUUUUUACAGAGUCUGAUUUUUGACGUCUCUUGGUAUUCUGCUCAUGGUUCCCUUUCUGCGUUAAGAUACAGGGAUGAUAAAGUGACAUGCCCGUACAUUUACCAGUUAUCUCAGUGAUUUUUAGUCCUGUAUAUCUCUGCCUUUCUCCUUUCCCUGGAAAAGUGGCUCGACUCAAUUAAGAUCCCAUCAGCCGCUCGGAGGAAAUGUAUUAGACUCACUGACCCUUAAAUCAAUCAUGGCGUCCAGUGAGUCACUGCAGACGCCACUGCGGCCUUCAGAGGGUCAGCUGUCAGAGCAGAGGGGGAUGUUUUUAAGGUUUUCAAAUGUAUCCGUCACCGGCUCCAAAGUGGAUGUCAUUCACUGCUGCAGCCAGAGAGGUGAUAAAGUUGUAGUGUGGAGUCAGAUAUGAAGUGAAAACUGGAGGUAAAUUUGUGGAAAUGUUGAGACUAAUGUUACUUUUCUCUGAAUUUAGGUGGACAUAUUGCUUUUAGCACAAGAGCAAAUUGUCUCAGCUGGAAAACGAGGAUAUGAAACUUGUUAAGAUUGGAUUUAGCCCACCAAACGUUAUCCCUAAAUUAAUCGACUAGUUAAGGAUUCAAAACUAAAUUAUCAUUUGGGACAGAAUCAAAAAGCUGCACAGAGAAGACAAAUCAAUUUAAAAGAAGUAUUCAUCUCUUUCUGACACCUACCUGGGUCUUUAUGAUAAGGAGAGUGUGAAAGGAAGGAAGAGAGGAGGAGAAAUCAGGGCAGAGCAUCCUCUCUCUCUUCCUGAGAUAAUCAGCAGGGAUUGUUAAAGCGGCGAGGAGGAGGACACACGCCCGUGAUCGAGUCCUGCUGAAUAACACAGAGUCAGUGUCUGUGCAGCUUAUCUGCCUGUCUGAUGGAAAUUACCCCUCAUACUGCACUCAUGCACUUGAAUCAGUUAUGACCCCGGUCAGACUGACACUUCCCUCCCCUUCCUCGGCUCCUCUUCAGGCUGAUAUAAGCUCUCUUGUGUCACUUGUCGCCUGCUCCUCCUCGCGUGGAUAAAAAGUCAUUUUCUCUCCCUGAAGCCACCAAGGUCAGCAUCCUCCACCCCCCCAGGCCCUCCUCUUAUGUCAGAUCCUGAUCCUCAACAACCCCGAGGUGAGCUCAGACUCAGGAAGUGGAUUCACCUUCAGCACACACUCUCCAUGAUCCUCAGACUCAACACUUUGACCUUUCAGUGACAUUUUCCUCUGGACUGAGCGUCUCAGAUCUGCUGUUUAUGCUCCUGUCUUCUCUCUAAAUUCACACAUGGAGGUAAAACCCUGAUGUGAUAAUCUUAAAAAACGGGCUCUAUGAUUUACUUUCACCUCUCUUUGCUUCCAGACUGCGGAGACUUGCUCUCAUUAAUUUCAAUGACCUGUGUGAAAGGAGUGGGAGGAGGACCGAGGCUGCACAGAAAAGACGGGUUAUUGUGGAGCUGUUUGAUUCCACAGUUUGUAAAUAGUUUAUCUCAUCUAGUUUUAUGUUUUUGUUGGACUCAUUUAGAGCAUUUUUACCAGUUGAGAUGUUUUACAAAGUCAGCUGGUCCACAUGUAGUUAAAGGGAUAUUCAUUAAUUUAGGGUCAAACACACCGCAACACCGAGUUAGACAACCCCUCGGGCGAUGAAUGCUUCCCCAGUUAUACCAACUUCAGUAACGACCGCACGAUAGGAAUACACAGCGGUCUGAGGAGCCAUACACAAACCUCAACCAAAAUGCCACUCUAUAGCCACAAAUAAUGCUCAGAACAGCACCUAACUUCAUCAACAGGACAUAUAGGGUCACAGACAUAGUACUAGACACCAAACAUCUUUUUAACUUUGACUCAUUUCUCUAGCAAAGAGACUAAACACAACUCACCUACUCUCUUCCAGCAGCCGCUUGUUUGUAGCGAGACCUCAGGCCAGUCCAUUAGGGACUACAGCAGGGUGACGCAGCUCAAGGAAGAACAUUUAUGAUCAUAACUGUCUAACUCGGUGUUACAGUGUGUUUGACUCGAAAUUAAUUUUACACCAAAAUGUCCCUUUAAGACACAGAGAGAACGUUUAAGGGAACAGUGUUAGCGAACAGCUCCAGUUUUCUAUUGUGACACAAGUCAGAACACUAUUUAUAAGGAUUAAAGGAAUAAAACAACCUCUUUUAAUUAACGAUACGCAAAGGCCCAGGUGUUGGCUCGUAGCUGGGUUACCAUGACGACAGACGUAAACACACCUUGAACCUUGAGCUGCAUGUUUUUUGGGCACUUUUCAUCAGCGAUUCAUCAACACUGCAACAAUAAACCCAUAUUUUACAAUCCUUUUUUGUCCUCUGGUGAUAAAAACACUCUUGUCUCUUGUAGCUUCCUGUGUCGCCUGGAGGAUUUGUGUGAAAUCAUGUCAGGGAUAGGUCAGCCUUCAUCCACUCCUCCGCCUCCUCCUCUUCCUCUGUGGAUAUUCAGCAGGUUAACAGGACACCGGGAAUAUUGAUUUUCACCAAUGAAAUGAAAUUGACUUGAUGUAUUUGAGGGCCUUCUAUCAAAUCCACAGCAUCCUGUUCAGACUGGAGGUCAAAGGGACAUGUGUCUGCCAUAGCUCAUGUUUACAGUGAAGGGUGCUCAGUAAUCUGAACUAUAAAAUUCAGCAGCGCAGAGAAAAUAAACACUCAGACACCCUGGAGCACCCGGGCUGGCGGGUUAUUUUGAUGUGCAGAGUUUUGUUUUAUUUAUCUGGAGUUUAGUAUCACAGUUUUCUGGAUGUUUGAAAUGAAAAUAAAACCAGAGUUCAUAUUGUUCGUCAUCCAAACUUCUAAGUGGGAUUUUUUAUGCAGAUGACUCCAGAGUGUGGUGCUUGGUGUAAAAGCACUUCUGUCCAGGCAUUAAGAGAACUUUUAUUUAGUAACUGCUGGAUAUUUAAAGAUAUAUUUUUUGUUCUCCAUCUCUCUAAACCCAGCUCAGUCUCAGCAGAUGACUGUCUAACAUCAGUCUGGUUCUGCUCGAGGUUUCUGCCUGUUAAAGGAAGUUCUUCCUCUCCACUGUAACUUGUCUAGACUUGCUUUUUGUAAAUUGUAAAUCGUCACAAUAUAAUUAAAGAUUGAGAUUGAUUGGAUAAUCUAUAAUGUUCCCAAGCACAGUAGAAUCAUACAGACAGAUACAGCAGACCUAACACAGGAAAAUACGUUGAGUCAGCACAAUUUCAUCGGCGCAUCGUUCUGAGAAAAACACUGAGAUAUUAAUGAAAUUGUUUAACAGUAGAUACAUGCUCUGUGAGUUGUCUUUUUGACUCAAUUGCACAGUUUCUGUGGACACGAAAGCCAGGUAGUCUUUAAAUAAACCACUGACGUAGUUCUCUCAGACAGAACGCAGGGCUCUCAAGUCUCACGCAUUCAGCGUGUGACACACGCAUUCCCACCCGUUCACACGCUCACGCGCCACACAUUGUAUUUCUCACGCAUUUAAAUGAACAUGGUGAUGUCCACCAAGUUGCACGUCUUUAACUAUGGAACAGAUAGGAAUCAACUGAGUUCCUCCGAGAGUUCAGAAGCUGCGUGCCACGCGCAAGCCAAUCAAAUAAAGUAUAUCUACUGAACAGCCAAUAAAAAAGCAGCAUUGCUGUAUCCGGGUAGAUUUUGAUAUCUUACGGUUUGACUACAGAAGAAGACAGACACUCGCCAUAAUAAAGCAGGUUUUUAUAAGGACGAGAUAGACCCGAUGAUUACAGUAAGUCAGUAACCUACACAUGCAGAGACCUCAACACCUCAUGGCAUAUAAACUCAUAUGAUAAACUAAAGCCCUAUGCUAUUGCUAUUAACAGCUGUAUUGAUGGAUUUAGCCUCUGUACAGCCAUUUCCAGCCAUUUUCCCCUCCACAAAAGCAGCAUUUCUCAUAAAUCUCAAAUAGAAGUUCUGAUACUCAUGACAGUGUAAUGCUCAUGUACCAAAGGAUUAAGUAUCUCCAUGUUUGUGAAACCUAUACUAAAGUAAAAUUCAUCUAAAUGCUCCACAGUGCUGAUUUUAACAACUCUCCUUCACAACAGGUAACUUUACGACUUAAUACUUAUAUAUUAAUGACUUUAUUCUCCUAAAUAAUAACUUUAUUCUUUAAGAUUUAAAAAAGUUUUUUUUCUAAUUGUGCCCCUUAUACUCCGUUGUAUUUAAGAGAUAAUUACACUAAUAAUUAUCUUCAAUCACCCCCCCAAGGAAAUCUCACUCUAAGCUUAGUUCAAAACUUGAGAGCCCUGCAGAACGUAUUCAAAAUAGAAGCCUGUCUCAAAUACUAGCCCGAUUCAUAUUAAGGCCUGUCUCUAAUACAAGCCUGUUUCAAUAUAAAAGCUUGUCUCUAAUACAAGCCUGUUUCAUAUUAAGGCCUUCUACUUUCAGGUGAAUGACACUGGCUGGUUGGGUUUGCUAAUUUCUUGCAAAUUCAGGAUCAAAUGCAUUAAUCUCGUUUGUUCCCAAUGAGUGUUGAUUAAGAUUGACGUCUGCUGAGACGAGCUGUGAUCACAAUGCUAAAGACUGAGCCUUUACCUGAUGCAAAUAUGACCUGAGUGUUGGAGCGUUUUAUGAACAUGAGUCAUUUUAAAUCCAGGCCUGUAUUCAGAGUCAGAGCCUGUCAGCUUUCUUUAGUGACGGUGUUAUUUUUGUCUGUGUGGCAGCAUGCAGUGGGUCUUAACAUCGACACAUGACACUAAACCUGGAUUUAACUCCCACGCUGAUUAUCUGUAUUGUAUAAAUCACACCGCACAGAUUCCCUCUCAAUAGGAGAUUAAUUUCAGAAGUGGACAUCCCUGUUUGUGUUGGAAAUAAUCAUGUAAAUGAAAAAAAGAAAGGUGAGCCUGAUUUCCGGCGGUGAAUAAAACCUGUAAAGAGGAUCAUUUUUAUCUGUUAGGCGCAGGUCACACCGUCUCUCGUGUAUUUGAGGUAUUUCAUUUGAGGUGUCCUCAUUCCUUUGUCCUGCUGGGGGCGGCUGCUUCUGCCUCUUCUCCUGCCAGGUGGUCUUUUUUUAUGCUAAAAACUGUCUGACAUUUGGCAAAGACUAACUCUCUGUUUACCUUUGAACUUCUGUAUCUCUGCAAACACCUUUGACCUCCUGCCAGCUGCAGCAGCUCAGAGGAGAGGAGGCAACAGAGCGGCUCUAACUGAGGCUCUUUCUGUCGUCAGUUAUUGAACAUUAGGCUACUGCGCUCCUGGGUAAGAAAAUAGCUGAUAAACUCUGAUGUUGUUCAUUUACUUUGGCAUACUUGUACCCUACUUGUUAGGAGGAGCAUUUCCAACGAAUAACUUGUACAAAAGGAGGCAUCAGGAGUGAAUAGGUUCACAAGUAAGUGAGAAACAGUGUGAGCGAAUAGUUGAACAGUUCUGGAUUUUGAUCAUCUGUGGUGUAUAACAUUGUUAAAUGAUUUCGAAACAAAGGCGUCAAGGUAAGACACUGAUACAGUGCGGUCGUGACCCUGAGACCCCCGGCAGCACUGCAUCCAAAGGUGUUUUUUAACCACAGGAAGUAGGAUCUAAACUUAGUUCAGGAGUGAAAGAAAGUUCCUGGUGCUUGGGGUUUCAUAGCACUGUCAUGUUUUCUGUUGAUGUAGUUUUUCAUCGGUUUUGUUAUCUGAGUGUAUUUUUUGGUGUAUUUUUCCUAGUGUUUCUGUUCCCAAUUGUUGCCGUGAUCCUGUCCUGUUUUUGGUGGACAUUUGGAAUAAAUUUUUUGUUGCUUUUUAUUUCAUUCAUUUUAGUAAAUCAUUUUUGCAUUCUGCAUUUAGGUCCUUUUCCAUUGUUCAACUCUACCAUGUGACAGAAUGAACCGACAAAGACAGAGGUGAAGACGGGGACAACAUACACACAUAGAGAAACGAGCAACAGGUGAGGCAGACGAGACACAGGUGAGACUCCUGGGUGAUUAACGAAGGAGGGAAAACUAGGGAAGUAAAUGCAAGGAAUCAACUACUACAAAAUAAAAUAAAAAACAUUGAAAACUGAUCUAAAGAAUAAAACAUGGAAAACAGGAGGAAAACAGGGUGAAAGACAAACUGGAAACUCACACGACUGGACUACAGGGGAACAGAAACAACUCACAGACUAAAUUUACAGAACAUAUCAUGACAAGCACCUUAAAAACAGACAUGACUCUGUAGUGUAAAUCACUGCAUGGGUACAAAAUCACCUUCAAGUUUGUCGCUCCAUCCACAAUUACAUGUUAAAACUGUAUCAUGAAAAGAGGAAACUGACUUCUCCCUUACCUUGGAUGAGUACAAAGUUCAGUAUUUAAGAGUAUGAUUUAUCUAAGACUGUUAUUUAACCGUUAAAUAAUCCUGAAGGAAGCAUGAGAGCACGUUUAGAUUGUAAAUGUGUGCCAGCUUGGCCUUAAGUUACAAAAGUUUGUUUCUGCUGAUGUAAGGAAAAGCGCUGUCCUCACCUGAAAGUUAAUGGGGAUUCACCUUUUCUCCUGGAAACUUCCCAGAGGGUUUCCCAGGACAGCAGAGCUAAUUACUUUCAGUCAGGAGCAUUAAAGAGAAGCUGUCAGGGUGUGAGAUAAUGUUGGGACGAGUCCGUCCCACAGCUGAACCGGAGGCACAGCACAUCUGGCACAGGGAGUCCCCCUCAGCACGCCUAAUGAUCCACACCGUCUCCGUCUAAUAUCUGAUCUGCAGCACCAGCAGUUUGUGUUUUCCCCCCAGUGAAUGAGUGAUGGUAGUUUAGGAGCAGACAUGAUGUGCAUUUAUGUGGAUGGGACAUGGAAAACUGUGAACUCACUUUCCUACGUUCUUUUUACUAUGACAAGAACUAACAUAAUCCCUAAACCACCCAGGCUGGAGCGCCAUGAACAAAGGUGAGCCUCGAGUUUAAGUCAAACGUACGGGGCGACAUAGUCACAGUCGCGCCGCUGGCCAGUAUAACGAAUGUUUCACAUCAAACAAACCCCAUAAUGCAUUGCUGGCAGAUGUCGUGUUAUUUAAGUGUCCUCCCAUAGGCAAGACUAGCAGCAUGCGUUCGUUUGCUAUUAUCUUUAAUCAUCAUUAUCUGCUCCACUUACCAUUUUCCCUCUUCCUCUUUUUUCAUUUUCUUUUCUCAGUCCCAGAUGUACGGAAGCGUAUUGCAUUCACUUACAAAAAAAAGGAAACUGUUUUUAAGAGUAUUAUUUUUUUAUUUGCUGUUUUUCAGACCAAUUUUUUUUCUUCUGUUUUUACUUUUUUUUUUUUCCGUCUCUCUGUUUUUCGGAUGAUUGUUUUUCCUGACUAAAGGAGAUACUUCAAAAUCUUGUGAGUAUCUCAGACAAUCAGAUCACGUUAACCACUACUGAUUCAUGUAUCUGACUUAAAGAAAGGAGUAUCUCUCAGUGUCUCAAAUCCAAAAGAAAGUCAAACUUGAUUAAACUAAACGAGCGGGCCAUGUUUGCUUCCAAUAAAUUGAGCAGAGUGGGAUGAAAUUGUCUGUUUUGAAAUGAUCAUGAUCCCAGAGAAUAGGAAAGACAAUUAGUCUGAAAAACAGAAAAGAAAAAAAGUUGUCAUGUCUUAUAAAUUGCUCAUCAAUAUCAUCAUAAAUGAGGGUUGACAGGUUGAGUCAUUGAUUGAUUUAUUGGGUUUGAGGAGCCAGAUGAUCACAAGAAAGCUGACCAGAAAGGUAGUCGUACUUUGUUCAGAGAUAGCCCAAAAAUCACAAAGUAUUCCACAACAUGAGGGAGCAUUUAUAGAUAAUUUAACUCUUCAUGGUGUUAAAAUUCAAACUACAAAUAAAGUCUGAAAAGUUUUAUUUCACAGCAAACAUAAACAGCUGCGGCCGUAAAUGACCCUGCAAGAAGUGACUCUGCGGGUUUGUAGAGAGAUCAGAUUAUUUGAAGUGGAUCUUGUGCAAGUUGAGAAUUCGAGCACGAAAUGAAUGAAUGAAGGAAUGAAUGAAUGAGUGGGUUUAAUGUGCAGCUCUCUCUGUGACCUUUUUGCUCGUCUCACCUGUUCGUAAUGUCACAGUGAUCGAUACCACCUUAAUGCAUUCCCCUCGCGCUCUCUCCUUCCACUGGACUCCAAGGGUGGCUCGCUCAGCAAAGUCACUCUGGUCCUACAGCCGCCAUGAAUCAUUAAACAUUCGAUCUCUUUCCUGCAGCUGCUUCCAAAACGUGUCAGAGGGGUUUUCCUGACAUCAGCAACCUGGUCGAUAAAGUUAAUGAGAGAAAUGUCUUCAAUCAAGGGUCAAGAGAUGGAAGUUUAAGGCUGAGAUUACAACCUGAUGCAGUUCAACGCUUGGAAGUAUCAGGUGAAGACAAAAGAUUUAGAUAAUUGGAGGAAAAAGUAGUAGCCCAUAAAUGCUUAUUUUAUAAGUAAGUAGACACAACUGAGCAGGAAGAAAAACACCGUCCUUUAGCAGGUUAAUUGUGCAGUAAACCUUCAUUGCUUUGCACAGUUUUACCUCAGAAUAGAUUCAUUUUGUGAUCCUCCUCCCCUCACACUGUCCUCCAUCUCUGAUGUGAUAAUGGAAAACCUUUGGCAAAUAGGAUUGUUUUGAAAAACCUUCCCAGGCUGUCCUCUCCCUGAUGAAACACAUUUGUUUCUGCAGCUUCCCCCUCCUCAGACGUCUUCACGAGGAAAAUGGUCUUUUUCACAGCUUUACCCUCCUUGUGUCAGAUAAAGAGAAACUGCUCUCUGAAAUUUAAUUAUCACAGAUGUCGAGGCGGAGGAGCCGGGGCUUGCACAGACAGGGCGGCGUGUCCAAGAGCAGAGGGAGAUUCCCUGAUCUCCACACACAGUAAAGAUGAGAUCUAACAGGACAUCAGCAGAUUUGACCAGACCUGAUGAGAGAGAGAUUUCAACACUGACUUUUAGAUGGGUGGAAGGUAAACACGUCAUUUCCUAUGGUGACAAAAAUGAUGAUUGCAACAGCGUCUAUCCAAAAUCAGUGUGCAGAAAAUCCUGUCCAUGCAAAGAUAUGUUUCUGAC